AGCAACCGCGGUAAUUCCAGCUCCAAUAGCGUAUAUUAAAGUUGUUGCAGUUAAAAAGCUCGUAGUUGAAUUUCGGGAUCAAUAUAUCGGUCGUGCCUUGGUACGUACUGGUAUCAUUGGUUUCUCCUUUCUGACGAACCAUGAUGUCAUUAAUUUGGUGUUAUGGGAAGUUAGGACUGUUACUUUGAAAAAAUUAGAGUGUUUAAAGCAGGCUUUAGCUUGAAUACAUUAGCAUGGAAUAAUGAAAUAGGACGUUCGAACCUAUUUUGUUGGUUUCUAGGAUCAACGUAAUGAUUAAUAGGGAUAGUUGGGGGGCAUUAGUAUUCAAUUGUCAGAGGUGAAAUUCUUGGAUUUAUUGAAGACUAACUACUGCGAAAGCAUUUGCCAAGGAUGUUUUCAUUAAUCAAGAACGAAAGUUAGGGGAUCGAAGACGAUCAGAUACCGUCGUAGUCUUAACCAUAAACUAUGCCGACUAGGGAUCGGAUGAUGUUAAUUUUUUAAUGACUCAUUCGGCGCCUUA
rnacentral:rRNA from 1 species